UACAGAGGGUGCAAGCGUUGUUCGGAAUUAUUGGGCGUAAAGGGAGUGUAGGCUGCUUGUUAAGUCUUCUGUGAAAUCUACGGGCUCAGCCUGUAAAGUGCAGAGGAAACUGGCGAGCUUGAGUGUCGGAGAGGAUAGGGGAAUACCCGGUGUAGAGGUGAAAUUCGUAGAGAUCGGGUGGAACACCAGUGGCGAAGGCGCCUGUCUGGCUGACAACUGACGCUGAGACUCGAAAAGCAUGGGGGAGCAAACAGG
rnacentral:rRNA from 1 species